AAUGAUCGAAACGCAGCGGCCCCGGACGAGGGAUCAGUACCCGGAACGCGACAAGACUGGCCACG
rnacentral:ncRNA from 1 species